rnacentral:rRNA from 1 species
GGACCCGCACAAGUAGUGGAGCAUGUGGUUUAAUUCGAAGAUACGCGCAGAACCUUACCAACACUUGACAUGUUCGUCGCGACUUUGAGAGAUCAAAGUUUUCGGUUCGGCCGGACGAAACACAGGUGCUGCAUGGCUGUCGUCAGCUCGUGUCGUGAGAUGUUGGGUUAAGUCCCGCAACGAGCGCAACCCUCACUUUUAGUUGCCAUCAUUAAGUUGGGCACUCUGAAAGAACUGCCAGUGAUAAGCUGGAGGAAGGUGGGGAUGACGUCAAGUCCUCAUGGCCCUUACGUGUUGGGCUACACACGUGCUACAAUGGUAUCUACAACAGGAAGCAAGACUGCGAAGUUAAGCAAAUCCUCAAAAGAUACCUCAGUUCGGAUUGCACUCUGCAACUCGAGUGCAUGAAGCUGGAAUUACUAGUAAUCG